rnacentral:rRNA from 1 species
AUUGAACGCUGGCGGCAGGCCUAACACAUGCAAGUCGAGCGGAUGAAGAGAGCUUGCUCUCUGAUUUAGCGGCGGACGGGUGAGUAAUGCCUAGGAAUCUGCCUGGUAGUGGGGGAUAACGUCCGGAAACGGGCGCUAAUACCGCAUACGUCCUACGGGAGAAAGCAGGGGACCUUCGGGCCUUGCGCUAUCAGAUGAGCCUAGGUCGGAUUAGCUAGUUGGUGAGGUAAUGGCUCGCCAAGGCUACGAUCCGUAACUGGUCUGAGAGGAUGAUCAGUCCAACUGGAACUGAGACACGGUCCAGACUCCUACGGGAGGCAGCAGUGGGGAAUAUUGGACAAUGGGCGAAAGCCUGAUCCAGCCAUGCCGCGUGUGUGAAGAAGGUCUUCGGAUUGUAAAGCACUUUAAGUUGGGAGGAAGGGCAGUAAGUUAAUACCUUGCUGUUUUGACGUUACCGACAGAAUAAGCACCGGCUAACUUCGUGCCAGCCGCCGCCGUAACAC